ACUCCUACGGGAGGCAGCAGUGAGGAAUUUUUCGCAAUGGGCGAAAGCCUGACGAAGCGACGCCGCGUGGAGGAUGAAGGCCCUCGUGGUCGUAAACUCCUGUCUAGCGGGACGAAAGCAUCCAGGGUGAAUAAUCCUGGGUGUUGACUGUACCGCUGGAGGAAGCUCCGGCCAACUCCGUGCCAGCAGCCGCGGUAAU
rnacentral:rRNA from 1 species